UGAAGUAGGCGGAAUGUAGCAUGUAGCGGUGAAAUGCAUAGAUAUGCUACAGAACACCAAUUGCGAAGGCAGCUUACUAACCUAAAACUGACGCUCAGGCACGAAAGCGUGGGGAUCAAACAGGAUUAGAUACCCUGGUAGUCCACGCUGUAAACGAUGAUCACUCGUUGUUGGCGAUAUACUGUCAGCGACUGAACGAAAGCAUUAAGUGAUCCACCUGGGAAGUACGAUCGCAAGGUUGAAACUCAAAGGAAUUGACGGGGGCCCGCACAAGCGGUGGAGCAUGUGGUUUAAUUCGAUGAUACGCGAGGAACCUUACCUGGGCUUAAAUGUUAGAUGACAGUCCCCGAAAGGGGAUCUUCCUUCGGGACAUCUUACAAGGUGCUGCAUGGUUGUCGUCAGCUCGUGCCGUGAGGUGUCGGGUUAAGUCCCAUAACGAGCGCAACCCCUAUUCUUAGUUGCCAUCAGGUAAUGCUGGGGACUCUAAGAAAACUGCCUACGCAAGUAGUGAGGAAGGUGGGGAUGACGUCAAAUCAGCACGGCCCUUAUGUCCAGGGCUACACACGUGCUACAAUGGCCAGUACAGAGGGUCGCUACCUGGUGACAGGAUGCUAAUCUCGAAAGCUGGUCUCAGUUCGGAUUGGAGUCUGCAACUCGACUCCAUGAAGCUGGAAUCGCUAGUAAUCGCACAUCAGCCAUGGCGCGGUGAAUACGUUCCCGGGCCUUGUACACACCGCCCGUCAAGCCAUGGAAGCUGGGGGUACCUGAAGUCCGUAACCGCAAGGAGCGGCCUAGGGUAAAACUAGUGACUGGGGCUAAGUCGUAACAAGGUAACC
rnacentral:rRNA from 1 species